rnacentral:rRNA from 1 species
ACUCCUACGGGAGGCAGCAGUGGGGAAUAUUGCACAAUGGGCGCAAGCCUGAUGCAGCCAUGCCGCGUGUAUGAAGAAGGCCUUCGGGUUGUAAAGUACUUUCAGCAGUGAGGAAGGUGGAUAUGUUAAUAGCAUAUUCAUUUGACGUUAGCUGCAGAAGAAGCACCGGCUAACUCCGUGCCAGCAGCCGCGGUAAUACGGAGGGUGCGAGCGUUAAUCGGAAUUACUGGGCGUAAAGCGCAUGCAGGUGGUUUGUUAAGUCAGAUGUGAAAGCCCGGGGCUCAACCUCGGAAUUGCAUUUGAAACUGGCAAACUAGAGUACUGUAGAGGGGGGUAGAAUUUCAGGUGUAGCGGUGAAAUGCGUAGAGAUCUGAAGGAAUACCGGUGGCGAAGGCGGCCCCCUGGACAGAUACUGACACUCAGAUGCGAAAGCGUGGGAGCAAACAGGAUUAGAUACCCUGGUAGGCUCU